CGGUGUUAGGCCUUGGGGACAUCGCUCGGGGACAGGAGAGCCCCGGGCCCCCGCCGCCCCGAGCCGUGGCCGGGAAGGGGAACACAGUCCAUGCGUGCGGCGCCCGACAGCCUCUCCCCGCACGCCCGAGCCCCAGUGCAGGCGGCGGCCCGGCCCCUUUGUGCCUGGAGUGUCACGCGCGGGCGCUCCUGCCGCCGCGCCUGGGAGAGGCCUCCGGCACCCCGGGCCCCUUUCCAAGCACAACAGCAGCCCUGCCGCGGCCCCGCGCUGACCCACUUUCCCUCCUGCCUCCUCAGCCCGAGGCCGAGAAUCCAGCGGCCGCCGCCAAGCAGCCCUUCCUGCCAGACCUCUGCCUCCGAUGGGCGAGCCCGGUUGCUGGGAGGCGGUUCGCUGUGGAGCCUGGACCCUCUCCACAGUUCAGCCCGCCGGAGGCGUGUGCGCUUCCAGAUGAGAGCACUUGUUCACUGAAUGACCAUCUCAUCCCAUCAGUUGAAGACCUUAAGAGAAAAGAGACUGACCUGCUCUGAGCAAGGAGGAAUUCUGCUGGCCAACUGCUUGUGAACUCCAACUUGUAAUAUCGGUCUCCAGCCUACCGGCUUACUCUGCAGAUUUUGGAUUUGCCAAGCCUCCACAACCGCAGAAGCCAAUUCCUUAAAAUGAAUCCCUUACAACAGUUCCC
rnacentral:lncRNA from 1 species